rnacentral:rRNA from 1 species
CCUACGGGAGGCAGCAGUGAGGAAUAUUGGUCAAUGGACGAGAGUCUGAACCAGCCAAGUAGCGUGAAGGAUGACUGCCCUAUGGGUUGUAAACUUCUUUUAUAUGGGAAUAAAAUGUUCCACGUGUAGGAUUUUGUAUGUACCAUAUGAAUAAGGAUCGGCUAACUCCGUGCCAGCAGCCGCGGUAAUACGGAGGAUCCGAGCGUUAUCCGGAUUUAUUGGGUUUAAAGGGAGCGUAGGUGGAUUGUUAAGUCAGUUGUGAAAGUUUGCGGCUCAACCGUAAAAUUGUAGUUGAAACUGGCAGUCUUGAGUACAGUAGAGGUGGGCGGAAUUCGUGGUGUAGCGGUGAAAUGCUUAGAUAUCACGAAGAACUCCGAUUGCGAAGGCAGUUCACUGGACUGCAACUGACACUGAGGCUCGAAAGUGUGGGUAUCAAACAGGAUUAGAUACCCGAGUAGUC